rnacentral:rRNA from 1 species
ACGGGGUGCAGCAGGCGCGAAAACUUUGCAAUGUGCGAAAGCACGACAAGGUUAAUCCGAGUGAUUCCUGCUAAAGGAAUCUUUUGUUUGUCAUAAAACCACUAAUGAAUAAGGGGUGGGCAAGUUCUGGUGUCAGCCGCCGCGGUAAAACCAGCACCUCAAGUGGUCAGGAUGAUUAUUGGGCCUAAAGCAUCCGUAGCCGGCUCUGUAAGUUUUCGGUUAAAUCCAUAUGCUCAACAUAUGGGCCGCCGGGAAUACUGCAUAGCUAGGGAGUGGGAGAGGUAGACGGUACUCCGUAGGAAGGGGUAAAAUCCUUUGAUCUAUGGAUGACCACCUGUGGCGAAGGCGGUCUACCAGAACACGUUCGACGGUGAGGGAUGAAAGCUGGGGGAGCAAACCGGAUUAGAUACCCGGGUAGUCCCAGCUGUAAACUAUGCAAACUCAGUGAUGCAUUGGCUUGUGGCCAGUGCAGUGCCGCAGAGAAGUCGUUAAGUUUGCCGCCUGGGAAGUACGUACGCAAGUAUGAAACUUAAAGGAAUUGGCGGGGGAGCACCACAAGGGGUGAAGCCUGCGGUUUAAUUGGAGUCAACGCCGGA